rnacentral:rRNA from 1 species
GACGAACGCUGGCGGCGUGCCUAAUACAUGCAAGUCGAGCGGACAGGAGGGAGCUUGCUCCCGGAAGUUAGCGGCGGACGGGUGAGUAACACGUGGGCAACCUACCCUGUAGAUCGGGAUAACAUCGAGAAAUCGGUGCUAAUACCGGAUAAUCAUUUGAAGCGCAUGCUUCGAAUGUAAAAGAUGGCUCCGGCUAUCACUACGGGAUGGGCCCGCGGCGCAUUAGCUAGUUGGUAAGGUAAUGGCUUACCAAGGCAACGAUGCGUAGCCGACCUGAGAGGGUGAUCGGCCACACUGGGACUGAGACACGGCCCAGACUCCUACGGGAGGCAGCAGUAGGGAAUCUUCCGCAAUGGACUAAAGUCUGACGGAGCAACGCCGCGUGAGUGAUGAAGGUUUUCGGAUCGUAAAGCUCUGUUGUUAGGGAAGAACAAGUGCCGUUUGAAUAAGGCGGCACCUUGACGGUACCUAACCAGAAAGCCACGGCUAACUACGUGCCAGCCGCCGCGGUAAAAC